AUGGCCCUCCCGGCGGAACGCUCUCGCCCGCCAGAGGAUGGACGCGCUUCAAUUCGUGACGGGUCUUCCUCUUCGCCCCACAGCGGGACGGCGGCUGAGAGGCUCACCGACGACCUCCUCGUGGAGAUCCUCUCGCGCGUCCCGGCCAAGUCGCUCUGCCGCUUCAAGUGCGUCUCCAACCACUGGCUGAACCUCAUUGACCGCUCCGACCACCGCAAAAAGCUUCCCCAAACCCUCGCUGGCUUCUUCUAUACCAGCAGCAGGACGGAGUUCAUUUUGGAAUCACCUGUGCGCUUUGUCAGUGUCCCAGGGAGCCACUGCCCUCUGAUUGACACCACUUUCGCCUACCUGCCUAAACACGAGCACAUCUAUAUCUUGGACUGCUGCAAUGGCCUCCUCCUCUAUGGCCUCUACGCCCAGGAGAUCAGUUGCAUCGUGUGCAAUCCAGCCACGAAGAAGUGGGUCACGUUGCCCAACUCUGGCCAGGCCGCCGAGCAGGUGAUCGACACACGCUUGGGCUUUGAUCCGGCCAAAUCACCGCAUUUCCAUGUGUUUGAGUUCGUGGAGCAGGAGGGAGAUUGGACCAGCGACCUUGCCGGGGUGGCAGUGUAUUCGUCUGAAACCGGAAGAUGGGUUUAUAGGGAGAAGAAAUGGAAUGGACUCGUAACUCGAUAG
rnacentral:rRNA from 1 species